rnacentral:rRNA from 1 species
GGGUUGUGAGGUUAAGCGACUAAGCGUACACGGUGGAUGCCCUGGCAGUCAGAGGCGAUGAAGGGCGUGCUAAUCUGCGAUAAGCGCCGGUAAGGUGAUAUGAACCGUUAUAACCGGCGAUACCCGAAUGGGGAAACCCAGUGUGAUUCGUCACACUAUCAUUAACUGAAUCCAUAGGUUAAUGAGGCGAACCGGGGAACUGAAACAUCUAAGUACCCCGAGGAAAAGAAAUCAACCGAGAUUCCCCAGUAGCGGCGAGCGAACGGGGAGGAGCCCAGAGCCUGAAUCAGCAUGUGUGUUAGUGGAAGCGUCUGGAAAGGCGCGCGAUACAGGGUGACAGCCCCGUACACAAAAGCGCAUGUGCUGUGAGCUCGAUGAGUAGGGCGGGACACGUGGUAUCCUGUCUGAAUAUGGGGGACCAUCCUCCAAGGCUAAAUACUCCUGACUGACCGAUAGUGAACCAGUACCGUGAGGGAAAGGCGAAAAGAACCCCGGCGAGGGGAGUGAAAAAGAACCUGAAACCGUGUACGUACAAGCAGUGGGAGCACCCUUCGGGGUGUGACUGCGUACCUUUUGUAUAAUGGGUCAGCGACUUAUAUUCUGUAGCAAGGUUAACCGUAUAGGGGAGCCGCAGGGAAACCGAGUCUUAAUUGGGCGUUAAGUUGCAGGGUAUAGACCCGAAACCCGGUGAUCUAGCCAUGGGCAGGUUGAAGGUUGGGUAACACUAACUGGAGGACCGAACCGACUAAUGUUGAAAAAUUAGCGGAUGACCUGUGGCUGGGGGUGAAAGGCCAAUCAAACCGGGAGAUAGCUGGUUCUCCCCGAAAGCUAUUUAGGUAGCGCCUCGUGAAUUCAUCUCCGGGGGUAGAGCACUGUUUCGGCUAGGGGGCCAUCCCGGCUUACCAACCCGAUGCAAACUGCGAAUACCGGAGAAUGUUAUCACGGGAGACACACGGCGGGUGCUAACGUCCGUCGUGAAGAGGGAAACAACCCAGACCGCCAGCUAAGGUCCCAAAGUCAUGGUUAAGUGGGAAACGAUGUGGGAAGGCCCAGACAGCCAGGAUGUUGGCUUAGAAGCAGCCAUCAUUUAAAGAAAGCGUAAUAGCUCACUGGUCGAGUCGGCCUGCGCGGAAGAUGUAACGGGGCUAAACCAUGCACCGAAGCUGCGGCAGCGACACUGUGUGUUGUUGGGUAGGGGAGCGUUCUGUAAGCCUGCGAAGGUGGCCUGUGAGGGUUGCUGGAGGUAUCAGAAGUGCGAAUGCUGACAUAAGUAACGAUAAAGCGGGUGAAAAGCCCGCUCGCCGGAAGACCAAGGGUUCCUGUCCAACGUUAAUCGGGGCAGGGUGAGUCGACCCCUAAGGCGAGGCCGAAAGGCGUAGUCGAUGGGAAACGGGUUAAUAUUCCCGUACUUGGUGUUACUGCGAAGGGGGGACGGAGAAGGCUAUGUUGGCCGGGCGACGGUUGUCCCGGUUUAAGCGUGUAGGUGUGUGUUCCAGGUAAAUCCGGUUCACUUUAACACUGAGGCGUGACGACGAGGCACUACGGUGCUGAAGCAACAAAUGCCCUGCUUCCAGGAAAAGCCUCUAAGCAUCAGGUAACAUCAAAUCGUACCCCAAACCGACACAGGUGGUCAGGUAGAGAAUACCAAGGCGCUUGAGAGAACUCGGGUGAAGGAACUAGGCAAAAUGGUGCCGUAACUUCGGGAGAAGGCACGCUGACACGUAGGUGAAGUGAUUUACUCAUGGAGCUGAAGUCAGUCGAAGAUACCAGCUGGCUGCAACUGUUUAUUAAAAACACAGCACUGUGCAAACACGAAAGUGGACGUAUACGGUGUGACGCCUGCCCGGUGCCGGAAGGUUAAUUGAUGGGGUCAGCGCAAGCGAAGCUCCUGAUCGAAGCCCCGGUAAACGGCGGCCGUAACUAUAACGGUCCUAAGGUAGCGAAAUUCCUUGUCGGGUAAGUUCCGACCUGCACGAAUGGCGUAAUGAUGGCCAGGCUGUCUCCACCCGAGACUCAGUGAAAUUGAACUCGCUGUGAAGAUGCAGUGUACCCGCGGCAAGACGGAAAGACCCCGUGAACCUUUACUAUAGCUUGACACUGAACAUUGAGCCUUGAUGUGUAGGAUAGGUGGGAGGCUUUGAAGUGUGGACGCCAGUCUGCAUGGAGCCGACCUUGAAAUACCACCCUUUAAUGUUUGAUGUUCUAACGUGGACCCGUAAUCCGGGUUGCGGACAGUGUCUGGUGGGUAGUUUGACUGGGGCGGUCUCCUCCUAAAGAGUAACGGAGGAGCACGAAGGUUGGCUAAUCCUCGGUCGGACAUCAGGAGGUUAGUGCAAUGGCAUAAGCCAGCUUGACUGCGAGCGUGACGGCGCGAGCAGGUGCGAAAGCAGGUCAUAGUGAUCCGGUGGUUCUGAAUGGAAGGGCCAUCGCUCAACGGAUAAAAGGUACUCCGGGGAUAACAGGCUGAUACCGCCCAAGAGUUCAUAUCGACGGCGGUGUUUGGCACCUCGAUGUCGGCUCAUCACAUCCUCGGGCUGAAGUAGGUCCCAAGGGUAUGGCUGUUCGCCAUUUAAAGUGGUACGCGAGCUGGGUUUAGAACGUCGUGAGACAGUUCGGUCCCUAUCUGCCGUGGGCGCUGGAGAACUGAGGGGGGCUGCUCCUAGUACGAGAGGACCGGAGUGGACGCAUCACUGGUGUUCGGGUUGUCAUGCCAAUGGCACUGCCCGGUAGCUAAAUGCGGAAGAGAUAAGUGCUGAAAGCAUCUAAGCACGAAACUUGCCCCGAGAUGAGUUCUCCCUGAGACUUAAAGUCUCCUGAAGGAACGUUGAAGACGACGACGUUGAUAGGCCGGGUGUGUAAGCGCAGCGAUGCGUUGAGCUAACCGGUACUAAUGAACCGUGAGGCUUAACCUUACAACGCCGAAG